GUGUCCUCGCAAAAGUGGAAAGAGGCCAGGCCUUGUCUUAUAGACAAUAUGUUAGCUACUCUGGAUCCACAGUCACACCGUGUGUGUCAGUGUGGCAAACAAGUAGUUGUGAGGUGUCUGGACUGCCUGCCUCUUCCAUUCCUUUGUGCUGAGUGUGAUAUUGCAGUUCACACACACUUUGUCCUGCACAACAGAGAGGCAGUAACAGGAGGGUUUUUGCAGCCUUCAUCAGAGUUUCACAAGCCAAUAGUUUGGCUGUUGCCUGUGCAAAGGCCAGACCAUGUGUGUGACUGCCCAGCAGGUAACGUUGAGGUUUCACCCGGCGCAAUUGUGGCUCUUGUAACCAUAAAUGGCCGUUAUAACCUUGCACUGCCAGUGGUGAGCUGCACCAGCUGUGGCCUAAUGUGGUCCCCCUCAGUUAAGGACAUCCUGGGUAGUGGAUAUUGGCCUGGCACCUUAAAUUUCUGCACCCUGUUUUCAAUGG